GCCCUACUGGCGCAACUGGAUAGCGCGCCAGACUUCUAUUACACAGAAAUCUGGAGGUUGCGGGUUCGAGUCCCGCGUGGGGUU